CCUACGGGUGGCUGCAGUGGGGAAUAUUGGACAAUGGGCGAAAGCCUGAUCCAGCCAUGCCGCGUGUGUGAAGAAGGCCUUCGGGUUGUAAAGCACUUUCAGUGGGGAAGAAAGCCUUGGGGCUAAUACCCUCGAGGAAGGACAUCACCCACAGAAGAAGCACCGGCUAACUCCGUGCCAGCAGCCGCGGUAAUACGGAGGGUGCGAGUGUUAAUCGGAAUUACUGGGCGUAAAGCGCGCGUAGGCGGUCUGAUAAGCCGGUUGUGAAAGCCCCGGGCUCAACCUGGGAACGGCAUCCGGAACUGUCAGGCUAGAGUGCAGGAGAGGAAGGUAGAAUUCCCGGUGUAGCGGUGAAAUGCGUAGAGAUCGGGAGGAAUACCAGUGGCGAAGGCGGCCUUCUGGACUGACACUGACGCUGAGGUGCGAAAGCGUGGGUAGCAAACAGGAUUAGAUACCCUAGUAGUC
rnacentral:rRNA from 1 species